rnacentral:rRNA from 1 species
UACGUAGGGUGCGAGCGUUAAUCGGAAUUACUGGGCGUAAAGCGUGCGCAGGCGGUUUUGUAAGUCAGACGUGAAAUCCCCGGGCUUAACCUGGGAACUGCGUUUGAAACUACAAGGCUAGAGUGUGGCAGAGGGGGGUGGAAUUCCACGUGUAGCAGUGAAAUGCGUAGAGAUGUGGAGGAACACCGAUGGCGAAGGCAGCGCCCUGGGUUAACACUGACGCUCAGGCACGAAAGCGUGGGGAGCAAACAGG